UUUGAUCCUGGCUCAGAACGAACGCUGGCGGCAGGCCUAACACAUGCAAGUCGAGCGCUUCCCUUCGGGGAGGAGCGGCGGACGGGUUAGUAACGCGUGGGAACAUACCCUUUUCUAAGGAAUAGCCUCGGGAAACUGAGAGUAAUACCUUAUACGCCCCCCUUUAGCGAUAUUGGGGGGGAAAGAUUUAUCGGAGAAGGAUUGGCCCGCGUUAGAUUAGAUAGUUGGUGGGGUAAUGGCCUACCAAGUCUACGAUCUAUAGCUGGUUUUAGAGGAUGAUCAGCAACACUGGGACUGAGACACGGCCCANACUCCUACGGGAGGCAGCAGUGGGGAAUCUUGGACAAUGGGCGCAAGCCUGAUCCAGCCAUGCCGCGUGAGUGAUGAAGGCCUUAGGGUCGUAAAGCUCUUUCGCCAGGGAUGAUAAUGACAGUACCUGGUAAAGAAACCCCGGCUAACUCCGUGCCAGCAGCCGCGGUAAUAAGGG
rnacentral:rRNA from 1 species